rnacentral:rRNA from 1 species
ACGUAGGGUGCGAGCGUUAAUCGGAAUUACUGGGCGUAAAGCGUGCGCAGGUGGUUGUGUAAGUCAGAUGUGAAAUCCCCGGGCUCAACCUGGGAACUGCAUUUGAGACUGCACGGCUAGAGGAUGGCAGAGGGGGGUAGAAUUCCACGUGUAGCAGUGAAAUGCGUAUAGAUGUGGAGGAAUACCGAUGGCGAAGGCAGCCCCCUGGGCUAUUUCUGACACUCAUGCACGAAAGCGUGGGGAGCAAACAG